UUCGCAGAGUGUUCAGAAUAAUACUUUGCAAGGGACAGCAGCGCGAUGUCAAGCAGCAGCAGCAGCAGGUUCUGCAGCUUCGACGACCCUGGUGAGUUCACGGUCGUGCUCAACUCCCGCCAGCAAGGCGCGAAGGAGUUUCCCCUUGAACCCCAUGACCUGAUUCUCAGUGAUGAUUUUUGCAGAACCACAUGCCGAUGGUGCACUUGCCUUUGGAAUUAAAGAUCAGCUUACUACACUAACCAGAUAUCAUAUAUAAAUACUCUACUCUACAGCAGUAUGAAGGGAUUUCAGGGCUAGCAAAUAUGUUAAAGAUAGAUACAGAGAAAGGAGAUUAGGGGAGUGGAUUCCGAUAAUGAUGCGAAAAAAAUGCCUUUGGGUCGAACACAUACUCUUGAAAGAAAGGAAGAAGCUUCUUGGUAAUGGAGAUGGUUCUCUUAUAUUUGGUAGGAGUCAGAAAAAAUCCAGCAUGGAAAAACACCACAUUCAACAUGGUGUAAUUAUGAUGAUCUAAACGAGUAUUCCUGGACUUCUGAUUGUUUCUCACUGCCACGACCAAUGCGGGAUGAUGGUGGCUUCUUCAAAUAUGUGCAAGAUAUGUCCUCUUUAGCAUCACUGGAUUUUUGAAAACGUUAUAUCUGAAUUUAGAGUGCACUUCUGCAAAAAAGAUUUUGUCCUGAUUACUAUUUCGAUUUUAUUUCUGCAGGCACUGUGAAAUGAUCGAAUGCCGCUAAUCAUUUUGGAGGUUUGUUGUAGGGUGCUCUACCAGGUAUUUUGUUCAGAUAUGCUCUUUCUCUGCCUGCCAUUUUAGCCAUCAGUUGAGAAUUAUAUUCAGAUUAGCAAACAAGUUUCUUGAUACUUAUAAGGCGAACAUACUUAUAAGGUGAACAUACAAACAAAUAAAAUCUUGAUGACUUGUGAGCUUUGCCUAUUAACUUAAAAUUAACGCUGACAAGUUUCUUGUUCUGUACCAUGGUAAGUCAUGAGUCUGCUGUCUUGAUACAAGGAAAUAAGGAAAUAUUAGUUUUCUGCUUAUUCGUUCAUAUCUUAUUACUGAAAGGAUUUCCAGUGUAUUAGUAAUUCAAGUUUCACCUGUCGCAGUGUAGUCUGCAAUAUUUGUAAUUAGCAAGAUGAACUCCUAUCAACUACUCCCAAGGUUUUCUGAAACUGUACGAACAUUUGCUAACAGAAACUUAAGUUAGCAAGUUAGCAUAGCUGCUUAGCUACCAAGUUGCUCUGCAGUUAAUAACUUAAUAUACACCUAUGUUAAAUACAUAUACUUGUUGAAAGGUUUUUGUGUACUGCUCCUUGUCCUUUAUGUGACAUUUACUUUCGUAGUCAGUCAUAAAUGGAUCCAGGUAGAUGUAUGGAUAUUUAUAUGGUGGAUGAUCCGUGUCAUUCUUUUACAGGUAAUAAUAUGCACCCACACAAUUCAAGUUCAUAUUCUGGAAGGACAUUGACCAACGAACCUUGUAGUAAUGUUACAGGUCAUAAAAUUGUGUAUUCCUACUAACCAUCAUUGCAUGUGUGCAGUGGUUAGAGAUUUUGUAGUGGAUAAUCAAUUAUCUUUAUCUGCUUCUAACUCAAGGAUUCAUACUGCAACAUUUCAUCCAGUGC